UUGUGUUAAGGAUAGUAGUGGCAUCCUUUUUUGAAGUAUGAAAAAAAGAUAUAACGAAUAGCCUGACCGUUU
rnacentral:sRNA from 1 species